CCUGUUGAUCGGAUGCAUCUGCACAAGAUCAAACUUGUGAACCCUUUUCAACUUGCAUAAAUAAGAAUUUAAUAAGAUGCUUUAUUGGAAAUUUUGGUGGAGUACAGAGACAAAUGGAAACUUAAAGAUAAGACGCCUCGGAGACCCCUGCCGUUAACUGAGGGAUAUGUGAACUCUAUGCUGGGAAUCCCUGCAAUGGAAUUCAUGGACCAGAUACCUUUGCUGGAAAAAAAUAAUUCACACAGAUGGUCUAAAAGCUUCUGGGGACAGAGAUCACAGACACCCAAAAUAGAUGCUAUGACGGCUGACUCUAAAUACAUAAAUAUCCCAACAACCUAUACCGUAACUGUGUUUGAUGUGCUAAAUGACAAAAUCACUCUGGUCUGCAAGUUUCCCUGAACUCAGUCACGAUGGUGCAAAUAACUUAA